rnacentral:rRNA from 1 species
GACGAACGCUGGCGGCGUGCUUAACACAUGCAAGUCGAACGGAAAGGCCCCUUUGGGGGUACUCGAGUGGCGAACGGGUGAGUAACACGUGAGUAACCUGCCCUUGACUUCGGGAUAACUUCAGGAAACUGGGGCUAAUACCGGAUAGGAAUCCUUGCUGCAUGGUGGGGGUUGGAAAGCUUCGGCGGUUUUGGAUGGACUCGCGGCUUAUCAGCUUGUUGGUGGGGUAGUGGCUUACCAAGGCUUUGACGGGUAGCCGGCCUGAGAGGGCGACCGGCCACAUUGGGCCUGAGAUACGGCCCAGACUCCUACGGGGGGCAGCAGUGGGGAAUAUUGCACAAUGGGCGGAAGCCUGAUGCAGCAACGCCGCGUGCGGGAUGACGGCCUUCGGGUUGUAAACCGCUUUCGGCAGGGGCGAAGCUUGUGGGACCGGAACCGGCAAAAAAACCCCCGCUUACCACGUG